GAGAGAGACAUGCGCGCAUAUCAAUAAGCGGAGGAAAAGAAACUAACUAGGAUUCCCUCAGUAACGGCGAGUGAAGCGGGAAGAGCUCAAAUUUGAAAUCUUCAAGGUUCUACCUUGACGAAUUGUAGUUUAAAGAAGUGUUUUCUGUUGAAGUUUGGUAAAAGUUCUUUGGAAUAGGACAUCAUAGAGGGUGAGAAUCCCGUAUUUGACCAUUAUUUCAGCUUUGUGAUACACUUUCAAAGAGUCGGAUUGUUUGGGAAUGCAGUCCUAAAUGGGUGGUAAAUUUCAUCUAAAGCUAAAUACUGGCGAGAGACCGAUAGCGAACAAGUACCGUGAGGGAAAGAUGAAAAGAACUUUGAAAAGAGAGUUAAACAGUACGUGAAAUUGUCAAAAGGGAAGCGUUUGACACCAGUGUUGUUUUCUCGAAAAUCAAUUAAAAAAGGCAGGAUUUUGUGUUGUAUUGACUUUAUCAGCUUUCUGCACUCUUUUCUUGUCUUUUUUAAUGCACUUUUCGUUUAACAAGUCAACAUCAAUUUCUUUUGUUGUAAAAGGGUCAUUGGAAGGUGGCUUUCUUUUCGGAGAAAGUGUUUAUAGCCUUUGGCCUCUGCAAUCGGAGAGAUUGAGGUCUGCAGCGUAGAUCCUUCGGGGUUAGAUACAUUUGUGCUAAGUUAUAGCCUUUCAUAGACAACUUGUUGACUAUGAUCAGUCAUGUAGCUUACUCGCUUAUGCUAUUUUACCUACGCUUAGGAUGUUGAUGUGAUACUGCGAGCA
rnacentral:rRNA from 1 species